UACGUAGGGUGCAAGCGUUAAUCGGAAUUACUGGGCGUAAAGCGUGCGCAGGCGGUUUUGUAAGUCUGACGUGAAAUCCCCGGGCUCAACCUGGGAAUUGCGUUGGAGACUGCAAGGCUAGAAUCUGGCAGAGGGGGUAGAAUUCCACGUGUAGCAGUGAAAUGCGUAGAGAUGUGGAGGAACACCGAUGGCGAAGGCAGCCCCUGGGUCAAGAUUGACGCUCAUGCACGAAAGCGUGGGGAGCAAACAGG
rnacentral:rRNA from 1 species